rnacentral:rRNA from 1 species
GAUCAAGUGAAUAAGUGCAUACGGUGGAUGCCUUGGCGACAACAGGCGAAGAAGGACGUGGAAAUCUGCGAAAAGCUUGGAUGAGCUGAUAACAAGCGAUUAAUCCAAGAUCUCCGAAUGGGGCAACCCGACCUAAGGGUCAUCUUUAAUUGAAUCAAUAGAUUAAAGAAGCGAACCGGGAGAACUGAAACAUCUCAGUACCCCGAGGAAAAGAAAUCAACCGAGAUUCUGCAAGUAGCGGCGAGCGAAC